AUUUUCUUAGUGAUUGAUAGGGGAGGGCCCAGUUCAUUGUGGGUGGUGCUAUCCCUGGUUUGGUGUAAGUUCUAUCAGAAAGCAGGGUGAGCAAGCCAGGAAGCAACAUUCUGCCAUGGCCUCUGUUCCUACCUCCAGGUUCCUGCCCUGUUUGAAUUCAUGUCCUGACUUCCUUUUUGACAAAUAGUGAUCUGUCUCUGGCUGAAAGGCCGAGUUCAGGGUGUGAUGAGAUUUUGGCAUUGUUCUGCCAUAGUCAGACUUUCCAGCGUGAAGCACUAAUGGAUGCAGGAACACUCAGAGUGUUGGAGAAUUGUUCGGAUAGGAAGGGAUGUUGAAUCAUCCUGUUAUCCGAGGCAUGAGCCAGCCCUACAGCUGAGGGAGGACUUAAACUCUCCUUAACAAUGGUUAGACUCAUGGUGAAUCCUGAGGAAGUCACACAUGACCACUCUCUUGCUUGAUUCUCCAGCCCAGGGAAGAGAAGGAAGGUUUGGAAUUUUCACUUGUAUCUCUGCUCUAAUGCCUUUGAAACAGUAUCUAUAAAGUGUGGCAAUCCCAUGAAAGAACAUUUGAAGGCACAAGAAUGAUGCAGUCACAGUCGUUGUAAUUAUUGGAGCAUUCAAGGAUCCUUUGGAAUUAUAGCACAUCAGAAUUGGGAACAUAUUCAUAAAUACUUCUGAAGUUUUGGGGGCUGUAUGUGGAAACAGGAAAAAAUGAAAAGAGCCAGCAGUAUUGUGAACUAUUGUGGAUGUUUCUGGACAUUUUAUAUAGUUCUAACAGCAAUGUUUGCUUAGAAAUUAAUGUUAGGUUCCCCUAAAACCCACUGUGUAGACUUUGGAGGUCUGCCAUGGGUUGAGAGAAGGUCUCUAUUGCUUCCUGUGCUCAGGAAAAAGGAGAUUAAAGACACCCAAAGUCCUACCCCACUGUCUUUGAAGAUCUUACUUGACACAUGAGUUUCAAAGACUUUCUUUUCUCAAUACUUUAAACUAAACAGAAUUAAUCCAUCUAUAUCCAUCAAAGGGCAUCCAACUGUCAAGUUUUCCUCAGCUCUUGGCUCAAAUUAUGGCUGUCCUUCAGCUGCAAGUUUAGUCCACCUGCCUUCCAGAGCAAGUUCUGAGUGAAGACAAAGGCAUCAGCCUCAUUGACAGUUGGGGGUUGUUCUGGCUCCUUUAUGUCAACCGGACACAAGCUAUAGUUAUCUGAGAGGAGGGGCCCUCAUUUGAGAAAAAUGUUCCAUAAGAUUGGGCUGCAGGCAUGUUUAUAGCACAUUUUCUUAAUUAGUGAUUGGUGUGACAGGGCCCAGUUCAUUGUGAGUGUUGCCAUCCAUGGGUUGGUAGUCCUGGGUUCUAUAAGAAAGCAGGCUGAGCAUGGCAUGGGGAGUACUCAGUAAGCAGGAUCUCUUCAUAGCCUCUGCAUCCUGCCUGAAGGCUCGUGCUUCUGGGCUUCUUCCCUGUGUAAGUUCCUGUCCCUGACUUCCUUCAAUGAUGGACCAUGAUGUGAAAGUGUAAGGUGAAUAAACCCCUUCCUUUCAAUUUGCCUUAGAUCAUUAUGUUUCUUCACAGCUAUAGUAACCCUAACUAAGACAGGGCUAAUGCCCUUGAGAGAGUCUUGUAAGUCAGAUCUCAUUGUUUUAGUCUAUUGCUAUUGCAAACUACUUGAAGCUGAGUUAAUUUAUAAAGAAAAGAAGUUUGUUACUGCUGGGGUACAUGGGAAUUCUAUAGGUCACUUUCAAGAAACUGCCAAUCAUUUUCACAGGUGUCCUACCAUUUCAUAAUUCUAUUAGCAACACAUUUUUCUUCAGUUUGUCCAUUAGUCUUAUUAAAUAUAGACUAUAUUCUUGGCUGGUGAGAUUUUUUUUUCUUUUUCAACAUUGUAAACAUUUUUCUUGCUGUGUAUAACUGCAGAUAAAGUUUUCUUGUAUGUUUUUGUUCUGUCCUCUCUCUCUCUCUCUCUCUCUCUCUCUCUCUCUCUCUCUCUCUCUCUCUCUGUGUGUGUGUGUGUGUGUGUGUGAAUUUUGAAUAAGAUUGGUGUAUAGACAUUUUAAGAAUUUAUACUA
rnacentral:lncRNA from 1 species